rnacentral:rRNA from 1 species
CACGUAGUUAGCCGGAGCUUCCUCCCCAGGUACCGUCAUCUUCGUCCCUGGGGACAGUGGUUUACAAUCCAGAGGACCGUCUUCCCACACGCGGCGUCGCUGCAUCAGGGUUUCCCCCAUUGUGCAAUAUCCCCCACUGCUGCCUCCCGUAGGAGUCUGGGCCGUGUCUCAGUCCCAAUGUGGCCGUUCAACCUCUCAGUCCGGCUACCGAUCGUCGGCUUGGUGGGCCGUUACCUCACCAACUACCUAAUCGGACGCGAGCCCAUCUUCGAGCGAUAAAUCUUUGAUACAAAAGGGAUGUCCCUCCUGUAUAUUAUGCGGUAUUAGCGACCGUUUCCAGCCGUUAUUCCCCUCUCGAAGGCAGGUUGCUCACGUGUUACUCACCCGUCCGCCACUAAACUAUACCAAAAUCCAUCCGAAAACUUCUUCCAGCAUAGUCCCGUUCGACUUGCAUGUGUUAGGCGCGCCGCCAGCGUUCGUCCUGAGCCAGGAUCAAACUCU